UUUUAAUGUUUUUCUAUGAGAAUAAGCAAGUAAAAGGAGGCAACACUGCCUAGAUUGAGGCAACCUAGCAAAUGAUUUCCCACAGAACACAGAACUGCUGACUAUAGUGUGAUUUGUUCAUGGUCCGUGGACUGCAGGUGAUUGCAUCAUUGAUAAAAAUAGACCUUGGAAACCUACAUAUCUGAAUACAAUUGGUAUGUGCAAAUAAGGACCGUAUGCAGGAUAAGAAGGUGAAAGGAUACAGAAGAGCUUUCAGAAAGAGCGACUGAGUUCAGGGAAAGUUGAUGACUUGAGGAGGGGGAUGCUUUACUCAAGACCGGGUGUGUUCAUCUGCGAUAGAGUUACAGGCCAAUGGCUUUGAAGCAAGCACUUCUGGAAUACUGCAUCCAGUUUUGGGCCUCCCGUACAGGAAAGACACCAGUAAACUGGAGCGAGUUUAGUGGACACCACCAAGCUGGUCGGGGCUGGAGCACUUGCCCUGUGAAGAGGCUGCGGGAGCUGGGCUUGUUCACUGUAGAGAAGAGUCCUCACAGCAGUCCCCCAACAUCUACACGGAGGUGAUCAAGGAGAGAGAGCCAGGCUCUUUGCGGCGGUGCAUAGUGGGACAACAGGCAUAAGCUGAGAAAAAGAAGGUCCUACUGGAGAUAAGGAGACACUUUGCCCCCAAGAGGAUAGUGGAGCAGUGGUACAGGUUGCCCAGAGGUUGUGCUGUCUCCAUCGUUGGAGAUUUUCAAGCCCCGAUUGGACAAAGCCCUGAGCAACCUCGUCUGAGCUCACAGCUAUCCUUACUUGAGCAGCAGGUUGGACUGGAGCCCUCCUGAGGUCACUUCCCAUCUGAAUUUUCCUAUGCUCUUACAAUCCUACAUUUGCAACUAUAUUUGCAGUUCAGAAGUGGAAUAUGCACCCAUAUAGAUAAGCACAGCAAUGAACCAAACCACUCAGCCAGAUCCAAUAUCCUGUUGUUCUUAAAAGAAAUUAAGUGAAAUUGUCACAUUACCUCAGUCAAUAGCAGAAUUCUCAGUCAUUUUGACAGAGCCAAGAUAUCACCCAUUGUAUUUUGUCUCUAAAUAUGGAGAAGAAAUACUAAAGUUUUGCCAUCAGCUUCAGGGAGGUCAUGUUGCACCAGAUGACUAAGGUUAUCCAGUCCUAGGCCAGCUACAAUCUGUACUAGGCUCUUAGCUAAAAGUACCUAAAACAAGAUGGAAUGAAUCCAAGCAUGGAGGUUGAAUCACUGUUUUUUUUUUUUUUAAUCUAUACCUAAUUUGAGAUUGGGCUUAGCUUGCUUUGUCCAGGAAGCAAAUAUGUAUGACUGAUACUCAGUUUUCAAAGUUAAGCCUGUACAGUGUGUAUAUACAUACAUUCGCCUGAAGUGUGUGACUGCCAGAUUGUGAAUGCAACUGAUAUAAUUGUACCUGCCAACACAGUUAGAGACGAUCUUGUGUUUAUGCAAUCCAUGCUCAUGCAGAUUAGAUGCAUAGUUUCUUGCAUUUUCUUAGGCAUAUAAUAUAAACAUAUCCAUCUUGAAUGAGUCUGAUGUCUUUCUGUGCUUCUCUUAGACAAAGUUAAAAGUAAAAUAAAUUUGAGCUCUGAAUACUUGCA
rnacentral:lncRNA from 1 species